rnacentral:rRNA from 3 species
AAAUGACUCUCGGCAACGGAUAUCUCGGCUCUUGCAUCGAUGAAGAACGUAGCGAAAUGCGAUACUUGGUGUGAAUUGCAGAAUCCCGUGAACCAUCGAGUCUUUGAACGCAAGUUGCGCCCAAAGCCAUUAGGUUGAGGGCACGCCUGCCUGGGUGUCACA